rnacentral:tRNA from 1 species
GCCUGGUUAGCCCAGUUGGUAGAGCGCUCCACCAGUAAUGGAGAGGUCCUGGGUUCGAUACCCGGACCAGGCG